GCAGCCACUGGUGAUUCUCUCUAGGGUUUUCAUUCCCCCUUUUUAGCCACCUUGCAUAAUUUUUGUAGUUACAUAAAAUUUUCAUAUUUGUGUGUGUGUGUGUGUUUACUUGUUGAUGAUGAUGAGGGCUGAGGCAUAUAGGGGAGAGCAGUGUUUAACUAUGGCUCUGAAAAACCUGUAGGUGCUCUACAGGGUGCCCUGCCAUUCAAGCCCUUCACAAAAAUAUAUGGCAUCAUAGUACGGAUUUUGUGCUUUGUGGGAGGUUUUUGGAUUUGAGAUUUUGGUCCUGGGAAUGGCCUUGCCUUCCUUUGCCCAAUUUCACUCUUCCUUUCUUUCCCACUACUUUUCUCCACAAAUCCGCCUCCAAACGCCAUUACAAUUACCAUACAACCCCCAACGAUUUUAUUUUUGAGUUAAACCCUAAGUUAUUUAUUGGUAUUAAGUGAAUUUUAAAAAUGUGUUUCUUUUGUUAAAUUUUCUAAUGAAGUGUAAGGAUAUUCUGCUGAUUAUCUUAAAAUUUAUCUGGACAAUGACUUAAACCAAAGGGUAUCUGGGUAGCUUUGACAAUAGAUACCCUGUGACUCCUCAAAAAUCAAAAUCACUCUCCUCAAAAAUCAAAAUCAGUCUAUUUGGACCAUAUGUUUGCCAAUGUUAGUGCUUGAGGUGAAAUUUUGAUCGUUAACUCAGAUGCUAUUACUUCAAGUUGGCUUUUGAAACAUGAUACUUAAUUUUUUAAAAUAGGAAAAUAAAAAUUGUGAUGCCCAAUUGAUGGAAUGUGCUUCAAGUUGGCUUUUGAAACAUGAUACUUAAUUUUUUUAAAUAGGAAAAUAAAAAUUGUGAUGCCCAAUUGAUGGGAUGUGCUUCAUGGCAUAGCUUUCACAAGUACUGUUAAUUUGGAGAGGCUCAGAUUUAUUGGGAUUUCUCAUGUUGAUCCAAUCAUCUACCCUGAAAUUCCAUUCACCAAAUUUGCCUGAAAAUUCAAGAAUUUCACCACUAGGUAAUCUCCACUCAAGAAUGCAAGAAGGAAGCUAGCAUAAACAUCAUCAUCUUCUCAGCAAGAGGUAGCCCUGCACAGAUUCUUCUUCCGGAACCAAAAGGAAUAUACUCAAAUUUGUUGACCCCCGAGUAGUCCAACUUGCCAGCAUCACUCAGAAACCUCUCCGGUCGAAAUUCCAAUGCAUCUUUCCAAAUGUCAGGGUCCCUGUGUAUAGUCCACACAUUUAAUAUUACUUGUGCACCCUUUGGAAUGGUGUAUCCACCAACA